UCGGGAAUCGUCGGCAAUGGGCGCAAGCCUGACCGCGCGACGCCGCGUGAAGGAAGAAGGCCUUCGGGUUGUAAACUUCUUUUAUAGGGGAUAAUUAUGAUAGUACCCUUUGAAUAAGGACCUGCUAACUACGUGCCAGCAGCCGCGGUAAUACGUAGGGUCCGAGCGUUAUCCGGAAUUAUUGGGCGUAAAGAGCGUGUAGGUGUUCCUACAAGUUGGUCGUUAAAUCUCAUUGCCCAACAAUGAGACCGCGAGCAAAACUGUAGGAAUUGAGUUAUGCAGGGGCGAGUAGAAUUCUUGGAGUAGGGGUAAUAUCCGUUGAUACCAAGAGGAAUACCAAUGGCGAAGGCAGCUCGCUGGGCAAUAACUGACACUGAGACGCGAAAGCGUGGGGAGCAAACGGG
rnacentral:rRNA from 1 species